rnacentral:rRNA from 1 species
UGGGGAAUUUUGGACAAUGGGCGAAAGCCUGAUCCAGCAAUGCCGCGUGUGUGAAGAAGGCCUUCGGGUUGUAAAGCACUUUUGUCCGGAAAGAAAUCCUUGGCUCUAAUACAGUCGGGGGAUGACGGUACCGGAAGAAUAAGCACCGGCUAACUACGUGCCAGCAGCCGCGGUAAUACGUAGGGUGCAAGCGUUAAUCGGAAUUACUGGGCGUAAAGCGUGCGCAGGCGGUUUGCUAAGACCGAUGUGAAAUCCCCGGGCUCAACCUGGGAACUGCAUUGGUGACUGGCAGGCUAGAGUAUGGCAGAGGGGGGUAGAAUUCCACGUGUAGCAGUGAAAUGCGUAGAGAUGUGGAGGAAUACCGAUGGCGAAGGCAGCCCCUGGGCCAAUACUGACGCUCAUGCACGAAAGCGUGGGGAGCAAAACAGGAUUAGAUACCCUGGUAGUCCACGCCCUAAAACGAUGUCAACUAGUUGUUGGGGAUUCAUUUCCUUAGUAACGUAGCUAACGCGUGAAGUUGACCGCCUGGGGAGUACGGUCGCAAGAUUAAAACUUAAAUGAAUUGACGGGGUCAUA